rnacentral:rRNA from 1 species
UCAAGAAACUUCCACAAUGGGCGAAAGCCUGAUGGAGCGACGUCGCGUGAUGGACGAAGUGCUUCGGCACGUAAACAUCUUUUAUGUGGGAUGAAAUUAUUGACAGUACCACAUGAAUAAGGGGCUCCUAACUCUGUGCCAGCAGGAGCGGUAAUACAGAGGCCCCAAGCGUUAUCCGGAAUCACUGGGCGUAAAGGGUGUCGAGGCGGUUGUAUUAGUCGUUCGUAAAAUCUACGAGCUUAACUUGUAGGCGGCGAACGAAACGGUACGACUUGAGGUUUGGAGAGGUGCGUGGAACUCACGGUGUAGGGGUGAAAUCCGUUGAUAUCGUGGGGAACACCAAAGGCGAAGGCAGCGCACUGGCCAAAAUCUGACGCUCACACACGAAAGCUAGGGUAGCGAAGAGGAUUAGAUACCCCCGUAGUCCCUGAGCGGGCUGGCAAGGCGCAUA